CCCACUGCUCGGCAAGUGUUAUCAUGGAUUCUUGAGAGGGUAAAGAAUAAAUGCACACUGCAGGAAAAAGGGGCCUUACAGUGGGUAAGAAAGAACCACCAUUUGGGAACAGUACCAGAGAGAAACGCACAUUUAGACUGGGUAGUGAAGAGAGCAUCGGCUUACUAGUCAGUUACCAUGUUCCUGGGAGCUUUGAUGAUCUGCCAAAACAUGACAGAUGUUCAGAAAGAUAAAAAUUCCUUCCGUCUUAGACCUGCAUUUCAAAAAAGAUUAUUAUCACUCUGGAGAGAAUACAUCAGUGUAG
rnacentral:lncRNA from 1 species